GGGCCCGUGGCUCAAUGGUAGAGCAUUCGAUUCGAUAACCAAAUGUCGCGGGUUCUAAUCCUAUGCGGUCCA
rnacentral:tRNA from 1 species